rnacentral:tRNA from 1 species
ACUUAUAUAGUUUAACUAAAACACUUCAUUUUCAAUGAAGAGAUAAAUUAUAAUUAUUUUAUAGGUA